rnacentral:rRNA from 1 species
GACGAACGCUGGCGGCGUGCUUAACACAUGCCAGUCGAACGGAAAGGCCCUGCUUUUGUGGGGUGCUCGAUUGGCGAACGGGUGAGUAACACGUGAGUAACCUGCCCUUGACUUUGGGAUAACUUCAGGAAACUGGGGCUAAUACCGGAUAGGAGCUCCUGCUGCAUGGUGGGGGUUGGAAAGUUUCGGCGGUUGGGGAUGGACUCGCGGCUUAUCAGCUUGUUGGUGGGGUAGUGGCUUACCAAGGCUUUGACGGGUAGCCGGCCUGAGAGGGUGACCGGCCACAUUGGGACUGAGAUACGGCCCAGACUCCUACGGGAGGCAGCAGUGGGGAAUAUUGCACAAUGGGCGGAAGCCUGAUGCAGCAACGCCGCGUGCGGGAUGACGGCCUUCGGGUUGUAAACCGCUUUCGCCUGUGACGAAGCGUGAGUGACGGUAAUGGGUAAAGAAGCACCGGCUAACUACGUG